AUUGCACAGAGAUGUGGGUGUUGCACAGUUACGGUGGGUGAGUGUGAGAGUUCAGGGUGGUGAUUGCUCUGACGAAGAACCUGUUCUUGAGUCUGUUUGUUCUGGCAACCGUGUAAAACAAGUGAUUGGCAACUUUAGUUAAGAUCACACGCUCAUGGGCUCCAUUUCAGAUACAGAUGUCAAUGCUGGAUUGAUUGGGGAGGCGGAUAUUGUAACAGGACUGGGCUCAGCUUCUAAGGGCAGCAAGCUAGUGGAAAGCCAAAGAUAGAAUCUCCGUGGUGCAACCUCAAUAGGAAAACAUCUCACAGUUGACAGAAGUGACAACCCUGCCCCAAAUUUUGUCACAUAAGUUAUUAAAAAUAGGUGAGUAUGUUUACUAUGUUUGUUUUAUUAAUUUAAAAAAAUCUGUCUUUCAGGAGGUAAAGGUGUUAUUGGAGCUCGCAUACCAAUACGCAGAAGGACGUGGAGAAAUGAGAGGAGGUGCAGGGGCCUAUACACUAGGGUUCUUUUGUAAAACAUUUACACCUGUGUUAGAAUUAUUAACCUUAAUAAAACAUUUACAGUCAUGUCAGAGUUAUUGACCUUAAUAAAAUAAGUUUUUUGUUUUUUUUAAACUGAAUUUUAUUGAACAAUAAAAUGUCUAGUAAUGAUUAUUUUAGAGAUUUAAAUGCAGCUUUAGCCUUGUUAGAGGGUGAAAAUAGAGAGAACGCUAGUCAAUCCAAUCCUGAAAUCAUCUCUUUGACUCCUGUUAUUGAUGCUGUGAACUCUUUCAACUGGCUACAACUAUUGGACCCCCAACUCGCCCCGUGUUGAUAAUACAUGAGAUAACCCUAUUGAACCCCCUCAAAAUCAGACACCCAGUCAUGAUACAUUUGAUGUUUUUGAUGCUAUCGAUAAUGUUCUAGCUCAAUUACAGUCUAACCAACAACCUAUACCGUCUGAAUUAAUAGCCUGUUAAAGCAGAGACCCCGUGAAAA